rnacentral:rRNA from 1 species
AACGAACGCUGGCGGCAGGCUUAACACAUGCAAGUCGAGCGGAUGAGUGGAGCUUGCUCCAUGAUUCAGCGGCGGACGGGUGAGUAAUGCCCAGGAAUCUGCCUGGUAGUGGGGGACAACGUUUCGAAAGGAACGCUAAUACCGCAUACGUCCUACGGGAGAAAGUGGGGGAUCUUCGGACCUCACGCUAUCAGAUGAGCCUAGGUCGGAUUAGCUAGUUGGUGAGGUAAAGGCUCACCAAGGCGACGAUCCGGUACUGGUCUGAGAGGAUGAUCAGUCACACUGGAACUGAGACACGGUCCAGAAUCCUACGGGAGGCCGCAGGGGGGAAUAUUGGACAAUGGGCGAGAGCCUGAUCCAGCCAUGCCGGGUGUGUGAAGAAGGGCUUUGGAUUGUAAAGCACUUUAGGUUUGGAAGAAGGGCAGUAACUUAAGACCUUGCUGUUUUGACGUUACCGACAGAAUAAGCACCGGCUAACUUCGUGCCAGCCGCCGCGGUAAAAC